GAUGAACGCUGGCGGCGUGCUUAACACAUGCAAGUCGAACGAUGAACCCGGAGCUUGCUCUGGGGGAUUAGUGGCGAACGGGUGAGUAACACGUGAGCAACCUGCCCCUGACUCUGGGAU
rnacentral:rRNA from 1 species